AUUGAACGCUGGCGGCAUGCCUUACACAUGCAAGUCGAGUGGCAGCACGGGUGCUUGCACCUGGUGGCGAGUGGCGAACGGGUGAGUAAUACAUCGGAACGUACCUUAUCGUGGGGGAUAACGCAGCGAAAGCUGUGCUAAUACCGCAUACGCCCUGAGGGGGAAAGCGGGGGAUCGAAAGACCUCGCGCGAUUAGAGCGGCCGAUGCCUGAUUAGCUUGUUGGUGGGGUAAAAGCCCACCAAGGCGACGAUCAGUAGCUGGUCUGAGAGGACGAUCAGCCACACUGGGACUGAGACACGGCCCAGACUCCUACGGGAGGCAGCAGUGGGGAAUUUUGGACAAUGGGGGCAACCCUGAUCCAGCAGUGCCGCGUGAGUGAAGAAGGCCUUCGGGUUGUAAAGCUCUUUUGUCAGGGAAGAAACACCGGCUCUAACACAGUCCGGGAAUGACGGUACCUGAAGAAUAAGCACCGGCUAACUACGUGCCAGCCGCCGCCGUAA
rnacentral:rRNA from 1 species